CAGUCGCCGCGGUAAUACGUAGGUGGCAAGCGUUGUCCGGAAUUAUUGGGCGUAAAGGGCUCGCAGGCGGUUUCUUAAGUCUGAUGCGAAAGCCCCCGGCUCAACCGGGGAGGGUCAUUGGAAACUGGGAAACUUGAGUGCAGAAGAGGAGAGUGGAAUUCCACGUGUAGCGGUGAAAUGCGUAGAGAUGUGGAGGAACACCAGUGGCGAAGGCGACUCUCUGGUCUGUAACUGACGCUGAGGAGCGAAAGCGAGGGGAGCGAACAGGAUUAGAUACCCCCGUAGUCCCUGUCUCUUAUAC
rnacentral:rRNA from 1 species